GCAGACGGUCCCGGGCUUGGGUGCACUUGGAGCCCCCUCCCCACUUUGGGCUUGAAAGGUGAGUCAUUGGCGAGCCCUAGGGCCUCGUCACAGAUUGGGUAAAUGGAAAGUUAAAGGUUUAAAAAUGUCAUUGAACAUUACUAUUCGAACAUGGAUCGAAUUUGCUAGCAUGGUAGCCAACCUUUAAUUAUAUGAUGCAUGCAUUCAUCUUCAUGAUUAUGGGCAUAGUAGCAUAGUUUUCCU
rnacentral:lncRNA from 1 species